AGUAAACAGCCUUUUAUGCAGGAGGAGAUGUAAGGAAAUACUGCUCUGCUCACGCUCUGCCAUUGAGUUAAGGUUCCAGGCACAGCAGAAGGCUGCUCCAAGGCGGAUGCUUGAAAACGGACCUGGAAAAGUGUGUGUGAGCUGGAAUUGUCUGGAGGGUAUUUGAGAGGCCCAUUCAUUUCAUAGGAAAAGUUCCAUUCCAGUAAAAUUGUCCACUCAUAUUUGAUGAAGGAGAGGAAAGGAGCAGCUGCCGUUAUUCCCUGGAGAAGUUGCUUUGCAGAUCCCCAAUUUUGGAAAGCUACAGAUGGAAGUGGUUCUGAUUAGCCCCAAGCAGGUAUUUACAAGAAUCACUUCCAGUCCAUAUUGCCAGGAGAGGAUCUGGAAAGGCCACAGGGACUGCAGAUGGAAACCCCACUGCCCAGGGCUGCUCUGCUCUGCGCAGCAGGCAGUGAGGGGGAGGCAUGAAAGCCCGGUGGAGAAGCUGAGCACAGACGGUGCUAGGAAACGAGGCAGGGCACAGGGUGCUGAUGCUGGUGGCAAACGCGUACCAAACCGACUCUGCUCUGACGUCUGUGUGAUGGUGAAGAGUCGAAAUGUUGCACUUCAGUGAUUCUCCAGACCAUGCCUGUACUGGGGAAUAAAUUCAGGUACAGUGAGGAGGAAAACACCACAAAUGUCACAAGAAGAAUUUGUGUGAAUCCUGGCAACCCUGCAUGAGCUCUAUGGGUGUGAGAACGUGUCGGAGAUCCCUGCUGCCAGAGCUCCUGACUGUCACUGCUACCAACUGGCACAGCACCAGUAAAUUUAUCUUUAGAUGGGAAUACACCGUCAGCUCCACUACCUUGCUCAAUCAAGGAAACCAACCAGCCUGGAGAACACAAGGACCAUCUGUAGAGGAGCACGUAGGAGAUGUCACAGCAACCCGCUGCAUUCCCUGGCUUCCCACUGGGCUGCGCACUGCUGGUGGGGAGCUCCUGUCUGCGUGCACCUGUGGCUGCGUGAUGGGGAACGGCUUUGGCUUCAGGAGCAACCCCAGCACAGGCUGGACUCGGGCCAGAUGGGAGCCGGGAACAGCUUUUGUGACAAUGAUGGAUGCGGUGUAGCUGCCGAUGGAUGGAGAGCAGACAUCCCCUUGUAUCCUUCCAGACCACUCCAGCAUUCAGUCCUGUGCUACCAUCCUGCCUGAAGGAAGAUGGAUCCAGGAAUACAACAACUGCAGGGUACUUUGUACAAUGCCACGGAUCAUGCCAUACCUGCACCUGAUGCACAAGCAUCACUUUGGGACACAGUCCGGGGGAAAAGGCCUCUGGUAAUGAACAAAUUAAAGUUAAAAUCAGCACUUUAAGUUCCAUAUAUUCAAGGUGAGACAAUAAUUCAAGAAAUAACAGUAAGGGUGUUUUUUUUUUUUUUUUUUUAAGAUUUACUACUUGAGCCAAAAGUCUUUUCUGUAUGUUGUGGUAUGUUGUGGUAUAUCUCUGGAUGCUAUGUGUGGGACCAGAACAGUGGGCUGUGCCAGCAGCAGGGCAACCCUAUGGACCUCAGAGCACUAAGAGAUACUGGAAGAAGGAGGGCAGAAAUCACUUCACCUGAGGGCUUCAGCAUGGGUUGCCAUGCGAAGUGUGGGCUGGAGAACCACAGCUCAGGAAUAAAAGCUGCUGCUGAGAAACCACAAAACCACCGAGACAAUUCCAGCUGGCAGCUCAGAUCCAUCAACGUCUCAUUAAACAAAUGCCUCCCUUACAAAAGGAAGAGGGGAAAAAACCAAGCUGCGUGUGUUUCUGAGCGGCCAUUUCAGAACAGAGCGCAGGAGUCAGGGAAAAACUGCAAAUGGGAAUUUGCAAACACUGGAGUCGCUGAUGGAGAGCUCUGGCAAAGGCACAGUGCACUGCAAGCAGCAGCUGUAGAGAUGGACAGAGAUUUCCUCAGGUGGAUAAUCCCCUGAGCAGCAAAGGUAAAUUACAGGUGUGUUUGUCAGUGGAGCCCUAUGUGGCUUUCACUUCAUUAUAUCAAACUUGGUGUGCACAUGUGCAUCACUGCCAGGACUGAAAUUUCCCUGUCCCAGACAGUGAGAGGCAUUUUCAGCAGCUACGUUGUGCUGCAGCGCUGCCAGCCCGGGGAGUGUGCUGAGAUGAAUGAUGCCACCUCUCAGUCCUGCUCACAGAGCAGCUGAACUCUGUGUAGGGGCUGCAAAUAGGUGCAGGCAGGAGUGGAUGUAGGAUGGGAAGCUCUCACCUCUCAACCCUCAGCUGAGACUCAGCAGCCGGGGAGCUCAGUGCUUGCAGCUGCUGCUCUGCAAAGUAAGCAGAGGAACCCUUUCCAGCAGCAGGCUGAGCUGAUCUCAGCUGCUCCAAUGGGGCAGUGGUGUGGGGAGGUGGGCUGCACCCCAGUAAUAGUGGGGACCCCAGGAAGGAUGCUCAUGCAUCCAUGCGGUGCUGGUGGCUUGCUGGGCAUGACAGAUAGGAGCAACCUUCAAACCCUUACAUCCCACCUGGGGUCCAGAGGGCCUCAGGAUACCCCACCAGUUUCAGAAAGCCAUGGGGGCAAUCCCCAGCAAGAAACAGCAAUGGAACGCUCUGGCAAUGCCACCUCCUCUCUUAGCACCUGCAGCCCUUCCACUGGAAAAAAUGAAUGGCUUGUAGGAGACAAUAACAUUAUUAUAAAUCAAGUUGUAUUUCUAUUAUAAUGACGAAGGGAGAACACACUUUCUAUAUGCUAAAUAUAUUCGUGUGGUUAUAUGAUAGUAGCAUUCCUUAAAUUGAUGAUAUUUAUCAGCUGAGGAAAACAAAUUUCUAUAUACAGAAGAAAAUAAUUAAAGGAAAGGGGAGAAUAAUAGCAGCUUCACAGCAGUCAAGUCUGGCAAUGUCUUAAGAGAAAUAUUGAUGUUCUUUUGGAUGCGUGUCAAGUAGAAAUGGAAAGAUAGCAGGGCAAUUUCUUCUGCAGUUAUAACUACAAAGGAUCUUUAAACACUUGCAGUCCUACAUACCCAGGAUGAAAUUUUGUUUCCAGCAGACUGACUUCUCCUUGCUUUCUCUGAUGGGAAAAAGAAAAAUUGGUUACAAGGGAAUUUUUGUUUAUUUGUCUUUUUGGAACCUGUUGAGUGUCAUCUAUACUCUGCUUAACCUGACAUAUCGCUGCAAAAAAAAAGAGGAAAAAAUACAACCUGCAAGUACAGGAUCAUUGUGGCGAAGCCCAGUGGUGCUGUUACACUUAUUUAAGGAGGCUAUUGGCUUUUCCAUCAUUUCCCCUCUUUUUUUUUUUUUUUUUUUUUUUCCAGCUGCUGAUGAUCUGGCUGAGAUGUUAGCCUGGGGUGGCACCCGAGUGGGUGGAACAUCCCUAACCCGUGGGCUUGCUUUGCAGAGUAAGGAGUGCAGAGCUGGGAGGGGCUGGAGCACAGCCAUUGCAGCAGCACCCAGCCCAUUUGGACUCAUGGUAGCACCCAAGGCAUGUGGGGGAGGCAUGCAGCACCUCGUUAUCCACCUGCCAGGGCCGGACAGGACGGCUGCAGAGCCACAGGUGGGGCACCCACAGGGCUCCAGUCUCACCAAUGGCCGUGCUGCUCAGGGGGUGCUCAGGAGCCCGGGUGUGAUGCACAGAGGGUUGCAAGGUAAGCAGGAGGCAGUGGGGAAUAACAAAAGGCUGAUGAAGUUUUCCUGAACUAUGUGUUCUUUUUAAUUCUCGCUUCCUUUAUAGAUGCUCUGAUAAACAGCAAACAGCUUGUUAACAGUAGCAAAAUGGAAAUUUCCCCUGCACAGUAUAAAUUUCAGUGAUAUACAUGAAUAUAAAACAGUGUAAAGCUACACUCUUCUUUACAAAAACAAAUGUGCCUCAACAUUGUACAAGAGACACUAAUACAGUACAGCCAUUAAGAAAUAUAUAACGUUGACAUUAAUUGAAGUGAAACGAGGUGUGCUUGGAUGAAUAGAACUCAGGGAAACAGGUAAAUUGUGCUUGUAAGUGAGGGAGGGACUCUGCAAUAGGAUGGCUGUUGUGCAUGGUAUGACUGCCAGGUCAUUAUUGCCAUCCCUGGAAACAGCCAUGGGCUCAGCACCGUGUAGCACUGGUCAUAUGCGCCCCUGAAUUGCCUCUGUUGUUUGCUUGUGCAGCUCACACCCUUCUUUCGUACCUGCAUCCUUUUGGUGACAUCACGUUUUUUAGUGUGUUUUACUGCCCAGUACCAUAUAACACAUGGAUCUACUCACCUAAUGAGGCAGUGGUUGUUGGCAUCCCAAUGUAGAGGAGCAUAAUGGCUCGGUGAAGACAUGUUUAUGAACUCUAAUGCAACUUUUGUGGUACGUUUUAUGUAAUUGAAAAAUUAUCAACCUGACAUUAAAACAAGUCUUGGUUUAAGGGAGUGUAUUUUUCGCUAAUGGAUUGCUACAUUUCAUUUCCAUAUCCUUUUUCCAGCAAUUUUGUGUUUAAAUAUCAUUGCCCCUUUGAAUUAUGUAAGGCUUUUUUCACUGUGAUGUUACAGCAAUUUGCCAGCCUCAUGUGUGUAAUUAGUUUAAUUAGCACUACAGCUUUAAUGGGAGCAUUGGCGGCUGCUAUACACGCUCUGUUCUUCACUGGACAAAGUCAAAAGUUGUGUUUCUCAGUCAGCUGCAGCUGAAGAGCUGAGUCCUUCCCAGGCUCUUUGUCCCCAUGUUUUGCCCUUCCAGGGAGCAUCACGUUCUUAAUUUUGGCUGUAAUCCCUGCCUGUGUCCUCUCUCCACUUGGGACACAGGAGUGCACACUGGGCAAGCUCAUUGAACUGGUUUGCUCAGCUGUCAAAGUACAUUCCCUUGGCCUU
rnacentral:lncRNA from 1 species